rnacentral:lncRNA from 1 species
UUAAAGAAUGAUAUGUGACAAAUGGGCCCAAAAGAAUUAAAGGAAAUGGAUAAAUGGUAGUAAGUUUAUACAAGGGAACUCACCAAUGGCUGUGGUUGACAGGUGAACUUAAUAAUUGUGUAUAUUGUAUAAGUGUAUAAAUAUUUGGUAAGAUUUAUGUUUUAUGCCUAUGAACUUACUAAGCUUCUAUAAGCUUACAUGAGUGUAAUCAAUGUCUCUUGUAGAUUGACGUGGAAGUAUACGGAGGAUCGGAUCAACACAGAGGAUCACACUAUCCAGAUUAUCUCCGGUAGCUUUUGUAAAUUUCUUUUUGAUUUAUAUGGCAUGUAUAAGGUUUGAUGAUUAUAUAAAUAUUAAGACUUGUUUAAGAAAUAUACAUUAAAGUAAAGAAUGAUGAAUAUGUUAAAUAGUAUAAUUAUAAUAGUAGUAUAAUUUGGUAUCAAAUUGAUUGAAAUGAAUUGGUUGUUUGGAUUGGUCUCGGUUUUAAAAUUUGCAGGGAAUGUUAGAUAUUUAUAAAGGGGUUAUAUUGAGCAAAAAAAAAAUUGGGAUUUUGCGAAAAAUUCCCUAUGGUUUCGAUUUAAUUCUGGUUUUGUCUCGAAGUAUGUUUUGGGCUCUGGAGGCCCAUCUAAAAGAUGCCAUGACAUGUUUUAGUAAAUGAAUAGUAUUUAACUCGUAUUAAUGGAAAAUUAAUUCAGUAAACUUCGAUAAUGCCUCCUACCCUAUUCUAGCGACGAAUACGAGUAAGGGGUGUUACAUUUAGUGGUAUCAGAGCCCAGUUUAGCCGGUUCUCGAAACAUGUGUUACGUGUAAAGUGUUUAGAAAUACAUGCCAUAUAAAUCUAUGAUAGUGUGAUGUGUAUGAUUCGAUCUAAUCUUUUUGUCAUUUUUAUAGAUAUUCUUCGAUUAUAAAGAUGUCAGAUAGACCUGAACGCAGUGAACAGCAGGAAGCUAUCAGUAGAGUGCAGACUUCUGAACAAGGAACAAGUAGUGAUAUUCUAAUUUUUAUGAUACGAGAGCGAAAACUUAAAAAUAUGAUUUAUGGAGUUAUGAAUCAGUGGUAUAAGGAGAUGAUACAAGAAAGAAGUCAGGCUCAACCACCUUCUCCCCCUACUGCACCACCUGUGGUACAUCCGGUUGCUCCUCCACCUCCUUCAAUAAUUGAAACUAGUAAACGUUCUCCGAUUGAAAAGCUGAGGAAGUUUGGAGCUGAGGAAUUUCGAGGGAGAUCAGAUGAUGAUCUUGUAAAAGCUGAGUAUUGGCUACAGAGUUUGGUAAGAAUUUUUAAACAGAUGGCUUGUUCUCCGAAGGAUUAUCUACGAUGUGCUGUCUCAUUGUUAAAAGAAGAAGCAUAUAACUGGUGGGAAACUGUGGAAGCUGUAGUACCUGCAGAGAAACUUACUUGGGAAUUUUUCCAGAACGAGUUUAAAAAGAAAUAUGUGGGGAAAAGAUAUCUAGACAAGAAAAAGAGAGAAUUUCUUGAUCUACGGCAGGGAAAUAAGUCAGUGGCUGAAUACGAAAGAGAAUUUGUCUACCUCAGCAAAUAUGCUCGAGACAUUGUACCUACUGAAAAAGAAAUGUGUAUCAGAUUUGAAGAAGGGUUAAAUGAUAAGAUUAGAAUGAUGAUUGGGGGUAAUGAAAUACGGGAGUUCGUUGUUCUGUCAGACCGUGCUCAAAAGCUCGAAGAAGUAUAUAACAGAAAAAUGCAACGAGAUCAGAAAAAUAAAGAGCCAUUUAAAAGAGGUGCUUCUAAGUCAUUUUCAGAUUUGCCGGUAAAGAAAUCUAGAGAAGAAAUUAGUCGAACUACAUCCGUGCCAGGAAGAUUGGUUAGAGGUAGAUCAAGACAAUCUGAUUUCAGGGUAUUUGAUCGACCUGCAGCAAGUGUGAGCAGUGUUCAGAAUACUCCCUAGCCUAAGUGUCAAUAUUGUGGAAGACAUCAUUUCGGUGAAUGCAGGACUAAGAUGGGGGUUUGUUAUAAAUGUGGGGCUACUGAUCAUCUUAUUCGAGAUUGUCCCCAGCUGCAAAAAGAUGAAGUGGAUUAGAAAAAGAUACAGAGAACCACUCCACAAAUAAGUAGACGUUCGGGCCAGAGCAGUGCUACAGGGGCUACCCGUUCGGGUGUGAGAGAACCAGUUAGUCAAUCAGAGAAUAGAGCACCAGCACGUACCUAUGCCAUUCGAGCAAGGGAAGAGGCUACGGCUUCUGAUGUAAUUGCUGGUAUUUUCUAUCUUUAUGAUGUUACUGUUUAUGCAUUAAUAGACCCUGGGUCUACUCAUUCAUAUAUUUGCAAUAUGCUAGCAUCUAAAAAGAAAUUAUCUGUUGAGUCCACUAAUUAUGAUAUACAAGUCACUAAUCCAUUAGGUCAAAGUGUGAUGGUUAAUUUAAUAUGUCGUAAUUGUCCACUAAAAGUGAAAGGCUGUGAAUUCCCUGUUGAUUUGAUGUUGUUACCCUUUCAGGAAUUUGAUAUUAUUCUAGGGAUGGAUUGGUUAACAAAACAUGACGCUGUAGUGAACUGUCGAGAGAAACGGAUUGAUUUGAAAAAUCAGACAUGAGAAAUGAUUUCGGCUGAGUUUGGAAAUAUGAAAGAUAAUGUUCGAAUUAUUUCAGCCUUUUCAGCUCAUAAGCUAAUACGGAAGGGUAAUGAAGCAUAUUUAGCUUAUAUUCUUGAUACUCGGGAUUCUGAAUCAAAGUUGAAACAGUUGCCAGUUGUUAAUGAAUUUGCUGAUGUGUUUCUUGAGGAAUUGCCGGGUUUACCACCAGAUCGCGAAGUUGAGUUUGUGAUUGAUGUGAUCCCGGGAACAGCUCCAAUAUCCGUAACACCAUAAAGAAUGGCACCGACUGAAUUAAAAGAGUUAAAGACUCAGUUGCAAGAAUUGUUAGAUAAGGGGUUUAUUAGACCGAGUACAUCUCCUUAGGGUGCACCUGUUUUGUUUGUGAAAAAGAAAGAUGGUUCGUUGAGAUUAUGUAUAGAUUACAGACAAUUAAAUAUGGUUACAAUCAAGAACAAAUAUCCUUUGCCCCACAUUGAUGAUUUGUUCGAUCAAUUGAAAGGUGCUGCUAUGUUUUCAAAAAUAGAUCUUCGAUUUGGGUAUUAUCAGCUGAAAGUUACAGAAUGUGACAUGCCAAAAAUUGCCUUCAGAACUCGGUAUGGUCAUUAUGAGUUUUUGGUAAUGCCAUUUGGUUUAACUAAUGCUCCUGCUGCAUUUAUAGACUUGAUGUCAGAUUUUUCAACCUUAUUUGGAUAGAUUCGUGGUUGUAUUUAUUGAUGAUAUACUGAUCUAUUCGAAGACCGAGCCUGAUCAUGCACAACACUUGAGAAGUGUGUUACAGACUUUGAGAGAGAAGCAGUUGUAUGCAAAGUUCAGCAAGUGUGAAUUUUGGCUACAUGAGGUUGGAUUUCUAGGUCAUAUUGUUUCAGCUGAAGGAAUUCGAGUAGAUCCAAGUAAAGUGUCAGCAGUGGUGAAUUGGAAAACUCUAAAGAACGUAACAGAAGUGCGAAGUUUCCUGGGAUUAGCAGGAUACUACCGCCGAUUUGUUAAAAAUUUUCAAUGAUUGCCUUGCCAAUGACUCGACUACUUCAGAAGAAUGUUGAAUUUGUAUGGUUUGAAGAGUGCCAAGAAAGUUUUGACCAGUUGAAGAAGAUGUUGACAGAAGCUCCAGUGUUAACUUAGCCAGAAUCAGGUAUACCAUAUGUUGUGUAUAGUGAUGCAUCUUUAAAUGGUUUGGGUUGUGUUUUAAUGCAAUCAGGGAAAGUAGUGGCAUAUGCUUCUCGACAAUUAAAAUCGCACGAGAAAAAUUACCCUACCCAUGAUUUGGAGUUGGCCGCAAUUGUGUUUGCUUUAAAAAUCUGGAGACAUUAUUUAUAUGGGGAAAAUGUUAUGUGUAUACCGAUCACAAAAGUCUGAAAUAUUUGAUGACACAGAAAGAGCUGAACUUGAGAUAGAGACGGUGGCUCGAACUAUUGAAAGAUUAUGAUCUUGUUAUUGAUUAUCACCUGGGGAAAGCUAAUGUGGUCGCUGAUGCACUUAGCCAAAAAUCAUCAUUGUUUGCACUUCGAGCAAUGAAUCUUCAUUUGUCUGUUAAUGAAGAUGGCUCAGUAUUAGCAGAAUUGAAAGCAAAAUCUACAUUCCUUCAACGGAUCCGUGAAUUACAGAGUGAUUAUCCGAAACUAGUGCUGAAACGACAAAUAGUUCAGGAUAAUUUGAGUUCAGAAUAUAGCGUUGAUGAUGGUGGUAUGUUGCGUUAUCGUAAUAGAAUUUGUGUUCCGAAAAAAUCCAGAAUUGAAAAAUGAUAUUCUUGCUGAAGCUUAUAAUAGUAAGUAUUCUAUUCAUCCGGGUAGUACAAAAAUGUAUUGCGAUUUAAAAAGAAUGUACUGGUGGCCUGGUAUAAAGCGAGAGAUGUGUGAAUUUGUUGUAAAAUGUUUAAUCUGUCAGUAGGUGAAAGCAGAGCAUCAAGUACCAACGGGUUUAUUACAACCUAUUAUGAUUCUUGAACGGAAGUGGGAACACAUUACGAUGGAUUUUGUAUCAGGAUUGCCUGUGACUCUGAAAAAGAAAGAUUCAAUCUGGGUUAUCGUUGAUAGAUUAACAAAGUCGGCACAUUUUAUUCCAGUCAGAUCAAAUUUUUCAUUGGAGAAGUUAGCAGAAUUGUACAUUUCUGAGAUUGUGAGAUUACAUGGAGUUCCAAUAUCUAUUAUUUCGGAUCGAGAUCCGAGAUUUACUUCGAGAUUUUGGAGUAAAUUAUAGGAGGCUUUGGGCACUAAAUUAAAUUUCAGCACAGCUUUUCAUCCUCAGACAGACGGGCAGUCGGAGCGAGUGAUUCAGAUUUUAGAAGAUAUGUUAAGGUGUUGUGUACUUGAGUUUGGCGGCAGCUGGGAAAGGUACUUUCCUUUAGUCGAAUUUGCUUAUAAUAAUAGUUAUCAAACUAGUAUUAAAAUGGCACCAUUUGAAGCUCUGUAUAGAAGAAAGUGUAAAACUCCAUUAUAUUGGUCUGAAUUAAGUGAACAGAAACUAAUGGGAGUGGACUUGAUUCGGGAAACCGAAGAAAAAGUUCGUAUUAUUCGAGAUUGUUUAAAAGCUGCCUCCGAUCGGCAAAAAUCAUAUGCAAAUUUAAAGAGAAGAGAUAUAGAGUUUAAUGUGGGUGAUCGUGUAUUCUUGAAAGUGUUACCGUGGAAGAAAGUUUUGCGGUUCGGUAGAAAGGAAAAACUCAGCCCACGAUUUAUCGGGCCGUAUAAAAUCAUUGAAAGAAUCGGUCCGGUAGCUUAUAGAUUGGCUUUGCCCCCGGAGCUUGAAAAAAUUCAUAACGUGUUUCAUGUGUCUAUAUUGAGACGUUACAGAUCAAAUCCAUCACAUGUAAUCCCUUAUACAGAAAUAGAGCUCCAACCCGACAUGACUUAUUCAGAAGAACCGGUGAAAAUUCUAGCUUGGGAAAUUAAAGAGUUAAGGAACAAACGGGUACCGUUAGUAAAAGUGUUGUGGCAUAGACAUGGUGUGGAGGAGGCAACCUGGGAAACAGAAGAAUCAAUGAGAUCACAAUAUUCGAACCUAUUUUCAGGUAACAAAUUUCGAGGACGAAAUUUCUUAAAAGGGGGAGAAUUGUAAUAGCCUAAAUUUUCAGUGGUGUCGGAACAGUGAUUCGAGAUCACUAAAUCCGACAAAUGAGUAGAAAAUAUUAAUAAUUUAGUGAAUAUAAGUUAAGUGUGAAGUUAGGAAAAUUUUUGAAAUAGCGAAUAGUGUACUAGAAAUAAAAAUUUUAAAAAUUAGAAUCGAAAAUGAGAUAUCGAGAGUUUGAAAAUUUUAAAACGAGCCAUAAAUAUUUUUAUAAAUAUUUAUGGAGUGUUAAUAAGUUAGUAUUAAAGUUUCAUUAAGAAAUUUUAAAGUUUCGAUAGUUAAUUGAAUAAAAAGGAUUAAAUUGUAACAAAUGUAAAAUUAUGGGAAAUGAUUAAAUAGCUUAAAUAAUAAAAGAAAGAGGGUUUAAAAGGCAAAUGGACCCAAGGUCUAUUUGGGCUGGACGGCAAGGUGCAUGAAAUCAGCAGGAAAAUUGAUGAAUUAAGGGCAAAAUUGGAAUAUUACAAAAUUUACUUAAUAAACUAGGACUUAAGUGGAAUUAUCUAGAAUUCUCAUUAUUUUUCUGCAUUCUCAUCAGAAAAACACCAUAGAAGGGUUUUCUUAAGCUGGGUUUUUAUAUUUUUACUGCAAUUAAGUUGAAUUCUUGAUUAUUUCUUGAAAUUUUUGUGUUUUUAUGACAUUUACAACUAGGUCCACUUGUUGAAUUCAUUAGUUUUUGAUUCUAUGAAAGAAAUUGGAAGUUGUUAUGAAUAUGUGUUGGAAUUAUAUCAUGAUUUAGCAUGGAAUUAGAGUUUAAAUUGUUUAUAUGCUGAUUUUAUUGAAAGAAUUGAAUAGAAAGUGAAUGUUUGGGACCUAAUGGUAAAAGAGUUUGAAGUUAGGGUUUUAUGUGGAAAUUAUGAAUUUAAAUAAUUGUGAAAUAACUUAUAAUGUCUAGUUAAAGCAUUAAUUUGGAAAAAUUAGCUUCAUUGACGGAUUAAUUGAGCAAGGACUGAAUUGUAUGAACUAUGAAAUUUGGGGCAAAAAACGAAAUCAACAUUUGCACUAAAACAGUUUUGGACAGCAGUAGUAGUCUAACUUUGAAAAAUCACCAUAAAUUUUAGAAAUCUAAUUAUAAAAUGAAAAGAAUAUGAAAUUAAAUCUUAUUGAGUCUAGUUUCUCAUAGAAGAAACGGUGUAAGUAACGGAAUUGUAGAUCAUGAGAUAUAAUAGAUUUUGUGAGACAAUGUCAGAAUGAUUUCGGGUUCCCUUGUUCUGACUUUGGAAAAUCAUAAAAAAUUGGAGAAAAAUAAUUAUGGGCUUAAAUUUAUAUUUUUAAAAUCCUUAAUGAGUCUAUUUUCAAUAAAAACAAACAUGGACAUCAUCCGAAUUCUGUAUGAAGAGAUAAUUAAUUUUUAGUGAAGAAGGGUCAGAAUUGUCAGAUAGCAGAACAGGGGUGAAUUUAAAGAAUAAACUGUACUUAUUGGCUAAACAAAAAAUUCUAAAAAUUUUAUGAUAAGAAUAUAUAUGAGUCUAGUUUCAUGGAAAAUUAGCGGAUCCUAAUUUGGAGUUCUGUAACUAAAGAUAAAAAUAAUUUAGUGACUAUGGCACUGAUGGACAGCAUUGGAAUAUACAUAAGUAAAUAAUGAAAUUAUAGAUAAUAUUACUUAUAAGCGGGUUGAAGAUGAAGUCAAUACUGAUAAGUGAAUGAUUUUACAAUGAUAGAUCGAGAACCCGAAGCAAGUCGAGGAAAAUAAAAAGUAGCUGAUUAGUCUCUAAACUUUCACAAAUUUUGCAAAUCGACCUAGGUAUGUUCAUAUGGUUGAAGUUUAAUGAUUAUAUGUUAAUUUUAUGAAUUAUAUAAUGCAAUAUGUAUGAUGAAAUAUAUUUAUUGAUAAAUAGAGAAUAAAACAACAACACAAAAAUCGAAUAAAUGAUUAAAUUGAGCGGAAUGUCGGAUUUGAGUACUUCUGAUCAAUGACAAGUGAUAAGUGGUAGUCUCAGCUACACUUAUCUGAUCAGUGAUAAGUGACAAGCGACAAGCGACAAGUGAUAAGUGGUAGCUUUAGCUACACUUAUCUGAUCAGUGACAAGUGAUAAGUGAUAAGUGGUAGUUUUAGCUACACUUAUCUGAUCAGUGACAAGUGAUAAAUGUGAUCAGUGUAAGACCAUGGCAGGACUAUGACUUCAAAAGGUGAUAAGUGAUCAUACGCAAGACCAUAGUUAUACUAUGGCAAAGUGAAAGUGAAGUACUCAAUUUUCCAUAACCAUUCCCUAAUUUGGUUAAAGAAUGAUAUGUGACAAAUGGGCCUAAAAGAAUUAAAGGAAAUAGAUAAGUGGUAGUAAGUUUAUACAAGGGAACUCACCAAUGGCUGUGGUUGAUAGGUGAACUUAAUAAUUGUGUAUAUUGUAUAAGUGUAUAAAUAUUUGGUAAGAUUUAUGUUUUAUGCCUAUGAACUUACUAAGCUUCUAUAAGCUUACAUGAGUGUAAUCAAUGUCUCUUGUAGAUUGACGUGGAAGUAUACGGAGGAUCGGAUCAACACAAAGGAUCACACUAUCCAGAUUAUCUCCGGUAGCUUUUGUAAAUUUCUUUUUGAUUUAUAUGGCAUGUAUAAGGUUUGAUGAUUAUAUAAAUACUAAGACUUGUUUAAGAAAUAUACAUUAAAGUAAAGAAUGAUGAAUAUGUUAAAUAGUAUAAUUAUAAUAGUAGUAUAAUUUGGUAUCAAAUUGAUUGAAAUGAAUUGGUUGGUUGGAUUGGUCUCGGUUUUAAAAUUUGCAGGGAAAGUUAGAUAUUUAUAAAGGG